AAUCAUCCUAUAGGAGAGUCAGACUGUAAGUGAUCCCGUCGAAUCACAUCUCAAACAAGUCACACAUGCAUACAUAGGUGGUGACCCUGAUGGACCCCCAUACGGUACAACUCUAAUAGGCAAAACUAACAGAACACUAUAGCCUAUACAUGUUUAUCAUAAGAUCAACAUCUUAGCUCAAUUACACAUAACUCAAAAGUAACAUAUUUGAUUAUAGCAUGCCUCAACAAAUAAUACUAUAUCUAAAUCAUAAUAUGGUUUUCAAAGUAACUAUUUAUACGACCAUCUCAAACAACAUAAUUCAACUCAUUCCAGUGCUAACUCAUUUUAGACCCAAAACAUAAUUAUUUGGGUGUACCAAACCCAACGAGAUUAAGCAAAAACUCACCAAGGGCUUAAAUAUGUUGCAGACGGCUAAAACUGAAGGUGGCUCGACUAACAACGCUUCAGCUCGAGUCUUGAGACUCACGGCUGGCAUACGACUCACACAGGAAUGGCUCGGUUGCGCGUGGCUCGCGUAUGGCUUACACGAAACGGCUCGGAUCCACAGAGAUGACUCACGAGGCUCGGUGAAGGAAUACGACUCGAACUAACACGACUUGGACAUGUGGCUCGCAAAAAGAAAACUUUCACAGCUUGCAUCCUUCACUGUCAAGCACGAUGAUGUCCGGCGGUGCUGUGGGAGUGGAGGCAACGACGGGUGAUGGUUUCGACGGAAGAGAGGGUUCUGACCGAUGAUGUGGAGGAGGAACGCACAGAGGAAGACAGGGGUCGUUCGACGGUUCGAUGCAACACGCGUCGACACGGCUGGAGAGAAACAAAUGGUUGUGCUUCGUGACCGUGACGCUUCGACUAUGCGACUGUGACAGGGACUCUCUCACCGGAGUGCUGCAUUCGAUGAUGGCUGGAGGAGCGUGGCGACAGCUACUCUAGGGUUAAAUGGUGAAGAAGAAAGAGUGGGGUGGAGAAGAUGAGCACGAAAUACGAGAGAGACUUAUUUAAUAUAUACA
rnacentral:lncRNA from 1 species